rnacentral:rRNA from 1 species
UACGUAGGGUCCGAGCGUUGUCCGGAAUUACUGGGCGUAAAGAGCUCGUAGGUGGUUUGUCGCGUUGUUCGUGAAAACUCACAGCUUAACUGUGGGCGUGCGGGCGAUACGGGCAGACUUGAGUACUGCAGGGGAGACUGGAAUUCCUGGUGUAGCGGUGGAAUGCGUAGAGAGUCCGGAAGAACACCGGUGGCGAAGGCGGCCCGCUGGGCAGGAAGAUCGUCGCAAGGGCGAUCGGCUGACGCUGAGGCGCGACAGCGUGGGGGAGCAAACAGG